rnacentral:lncRNA from 1 species
GCCAAGAAACACAUUUCUCUUCAUGCCUAUGCCCUUCUGCCCAUUCAUCUUAUCAGAACUCAGUCAGCAGCCAUCCUGUCUCAGCAGUGACAUGUUUCUGCCAACCAGGCAGCCAGUCCUGACCCCAUCUCCCUUUAUUAGCUCCUCCUUCAUUUCUCCCCCCUCCCAUCUUUGUCUGACACCUUGACUAAAGACCCAGUGAUGUAUGUUGUGAUUUUUACAGGGCUCGUCUGGCCUUGAAAUUCUGAAUUUUGAAAAGAGUUCAAGGUGAUGAUACCAAUGUUGCUGGUCCUGAGAACGAACUGUGAAGAGCAAGGGGCUAAGUCACAUGGAAGAUAUAGGGGAGCUGACGCCUCAGGAAUUUCCUCCUUGACUUCUGCAAGAGGUCACCUGGCAAAUCUAAGUCAGACGCUAGACAGCAAAUGGCUAUAGCUUGUUUAACUGGGUAAGUCCUAUCGUCUGUCUUCUAGCCUUCCUGCACAUGUUUCUCAGAUGAGUAGCCUCCGUGUGAUAGGACCAAGAAUGUUAUGGGCUUACAUGGCCCUAAAGUCCAUGCACUGGAGUCCUGGUCCCCAGUGCAGUCUGUAUUAGAGACAGGGUCUUCAACGAGGUAAGCGGGACUAAUUGAAGAUGGGAGAAUAGAGCCCUUACCUGGCAGAGAUGGAGCCUUGCAAGAAGAGGAGAC